rfam:Paracoccus sp. 361 scaffold_2, whole genome shotgun sequence.
CCGUGGGACACCCCUCCCCAACGAGGGGCUUUUUAGCUGGAAGGCUAGUCACA